CAUGCGAGUCGACGCGGAUGAGAGGAGCUUGCUCCUGGAUUCAGCGGCGGACGGGUGAGUAAUGCCUAGGAAUCUGCCUGGUAGUGGGGGACAACGUUUCGAAAGGAACGCUAAUACCGCAUACGUCCUACGGGAGAAAGCAGGGGACCUUCGGGCCUUGCGCUAUCAGAUGAGCCUAUGUCGGAUUAGCUAGUUGGUGAGGUAAUGGCUCACCAAGGCGACGAUCCGUAACUGGUCUGAGAGGAUGAUCAGGCCCACUGGAACUGAGACACGGUCCAGACUCCUACGGGAGGCAAAGUGGGGAAAGGACAAGGGCGAAAGCCUGAUCCAGCCAUGCCGCGGUGUGUGAA
rnacentral:rRNA from 1 species